rnacentral:rRNA from 1 species
AUUGAACGCUGGCGGCAGGCCUAACACAUGCCAGUCGAGCGGAGCGGCAGACGGGUGAGUAAUGCCUAGGAAUCUGCCUGGUAGUGUGGGAUAACGUCAGGCAACGGGCGCUAAUACCGCAUCCUAUCAGCUUAGCCUAGGUCGAAUUAGCUAGUUGGUGGGGUAAAGGCAUACCAAGGCUACGCUCCGUAACUGGUCUGAGAGGAUGAUCAGUAACACUGGAACUGGUAAACGGUCCAGACUCCUACGGGAGGCAGCAGUGGGGAAUAUUGUACAAUGGGCGAAAGCCUGAUGCAGCCAUGCCGCGUGUAUGAAGAAGGCCUUCGGGUUGUAAAGUACUUUCAGCGAGGAGGCGUUACUCGCAGAAGAAGCACCGGCUAACUCCGUGCCAGCAGCCGCGGUAAUUC